rnacentral:rRNA from 1 species
CGUUACUAACGACGAUAUGCUUUGGGGAGCUGUAAGUAAGCUUUGAUCCAGAGAUUUCCGAAUGGGGAAACCCAGCAUGAGUUAUGUCAUGUUAUCGAUAUGUGAAUACAUAGCAUAUCAGAAGGCACACCCGGAGAACUGAAACAUCUUAGUACCCGGAGGAAGAGAAAGAAAAUUCGAUUCCCUUAGUAGCGGCGAGCGAAACGGGAAGAGCCCAAACCAACAAGCUUGCUUGUUGGGGUUGUAGGACACUCUAUACGGAGUUACAAAGGACGACAUUAGACGAAUCAUCUGGAAAGAUGAAUCAAAGAAGGUAAUAAUCCUGUAGUCGAAAAUGUUGUCUCUCUUGAGUGGAUCCUGAGUACGACGGAGCACGUGAAAUUCCGUCGGAAUCUGGGAGGACCAUCUCCUAAGGCUAAAUACUCUCUAGUGACCGAUAGUGAACCAGUACCGUGAGGGAAAGGUGAAAAGCACCCCGGAAGGGGAGUGAAAUAGAACCUGAAACCGUGUGCUUACAAGUAGUCAGAGCCCGUUAAUGGGUGAUGGCGUGCCUUUUGUAGAAUGAACCGGCGAGUUACGAUUUGAUGCAAGGUUAAGCAGUAAAUGUGGAGCCGUAGCGAAAGCGAGUCUGAAUAGGGCGUUUAGUAUUUGGUCGUAGACCCGAAACCAGGUGAUCUACCCUUGGUCAGGUUGAAGUUCAGGUAACACUGAAUGGAGGACCGAACCGACUUACGUUGAAAAGUGAGCGGAUGAACUGAGGGUAGCGGAGAAAUUCCAAUCGAACCUGGAGAUAGCUGGUUCUCUCCGAAAUAGCUUUAGGGCUAGCCUCAAGUGAUGAUUAUUGGAGGUAGAGCACUGUUUGGACGAGGGGCCCCUCUCGGGUUACCGAAUUCAGACAAACUCCGAAUGCCAAUUAAUUUAACUUGGGAGUCAGAACAUGGGUGAUAAGGUCCGUGUUCGAAAGGGAAACAGCCCAGACCACCAGCUAAGGUCCCAAAAUAUAUGUUAAGUGGAAAAGGAUGUGGCGUUGCCCAGACAACUAGGAUGUUGGCUUAGAAGCAGCCAUCAUUUAAAGAGUG